CAGUAGUCCGCCGUCAAAGAAAGCCCCUAUUAAUCGAUGGAAGCAACGUAGACUGUUUUUAUACAUUAUCUUGUAAAAAGAAAAAAGUUAGAGUGUUGUGCCCUAGUGUAUAAGGCAAUGGAAAAUCAUAUAAAUAAACAGAUAAAAUAAUAAAAAAAGCAAUAUUGUGCCCGAGGCUUAUACUAAAACAGUGAGAAUAAAUAAAUUUCGCUUGGGUAAAUUUGUGGUUGAGGAAAUAAUGGCAGCAGCCGACUCAUCAACCAACGACAGCCUUUAUCCAAUUGCAGUUUUGAUAGAUGAAUCAUAGAAUGAAAAUUUACUACUGCGAAUUAAUUCAAUCGAAAAACUUUCAACGAUUGCCUUGGCACUUGGUGCUGAACGUACUCGUAAUGAGUUGAUGCCUUUUUUGACGUGGACAAUGUAUGAUGGAGAUGAAGUUUAAUUGGCACUCGCUGAACAACUUGUAACAUUCACACCACUGGUAGGUGGACUUGAUCAUGUUUAUUGUUUAUUGCCACCACUUGAAGCAUUGGCAGCUGUUGAAGAAACAGUUGUACGUGACAAAGCAGUUGAAUUGUCGCGUAAUAUUGCAAGUCAACACAGUCCAGCAUAUCUUGAAGAUCAUUUUGUUCCAUUGGUAUACAACGUUUGGCAUCUGGUGAUUAAUUUACGUCAAGAACAUCAGCAUGUGGUUUAAAAAGUUUAU